rnacentral:lncRNA from 1 species
GUUGGCCUCAAAUCUACAGUGCUCUAGAACCCAGCAAAGACCUCCUAAUGCAGGCAGCCCCCGGCCACACGCAGGGGCAAGGGGAACGCAUGCGCACCGGGCCCUUCAACCCCAUCGCCAAGCCUACCCACCUCCUUUCUCAGGGCUGAGAUGCCGUCGAGGAUGUACCGAAUUUGUUUGUCAAUUCGUUCUGAAGAGCCCCCCAAGCCUGGGAUUAUGAAGAAGGUAAUACUACCAGUCAUCUGAGUUCUUCUGUGUUCUGGCUCUCCCUGUGAGCGGCUGUUGUAGAACUGCCUGGCCAUCCUCAAAUUUCGUGCAGUUACUUCAAGGCGUCUCCAGGUGGAGUGUGUGACUCCUUUUUGCCACCGCGUGGCUUCUGCCACUUUCUUCACCUGCUUCAGCCCACUUAGAGGAGGUUGGCUGCUGCCCUGCCCUCUCCCAAGUGACCCCUUGGGAAUCCUCCCAGUGAGGACUUUGCUCUCUGUGCCAGAGGUUUGCCUUGUGCUGCCAGUGCUCUCCCCAUUGCCACUGAGUCUCUUCACCACUGUUUCACUGGGGCACCUGCAUGGGCCCCAGGUCUCCUGGAGCCCUGAAAUUACUGAAGCCCACUUGGUUCAGGGCAGAAAGGGGGAGAAUACUACUCACCUCUUUGUUGGGGAUGUCAAAGGAGGACCUUGUGGCAUCUUGCAGAGUUUGUGUUUAUCGCUCCCUCUCCCUGUAAGUCUUGAUUUGAAAUCAAAAGAAGCUAGAAGGAAACUACGGACGCAGGCACGGCUCUAGGCUCUGAAUCUGCUUCCGCGUCGGCACCCAAGAAUUUCUUAUUGGGUCAAGCUGGUUCAGAAGCCCUCUUCCCUCAGGAUGGUGUCUCUUGCAGGAGGAUCCUUGGUCUCAUGCAAAUGGGCUCUAGACUAGGUUGUCCCUCCAGUCUCCAGAGACCCAGACAGCUCUGAGAUGGCUUCAGGCUGAAACCAGACCCUUGCACAACACCAAAACACUUAUUUACCAAACAUGGUGUUACCUUCACAAUCGGUUUCUUUGCUUUGCUAAGAAGAGAUCUCUUCAAGAUCGAUAAAACAGUGACCUCUGUUGGGCAUUUACUCAAGUUUUGUUUCGUGCAUAACAUUUCAGGACCCGCCUGUUGGGGAAAGUGAGGUCAUCCAUUCUUCACCGAUUGUCUAAACAGAGACGGUGGUCCUCUGCCGCGGUGGGAUUCUUUGGUGUGAAAAUGAAAAUGGGGGAGGAUGGCUGGAUGGUUUCAUUUUUAGUGCUCUCCUGUCUUAAGCAACGUAGACACUCCUGAACCAAGUUCUCUUUCCUGCAUGAAACGAAGCCACUGCUCCCAGCUCCGCAGCCGUGCACUGUGAUCCGUCUAUGUAAUGUGAGCUUGCUUUUACUCAACUAUCUAUUUUUUAGAAAAUACAAUUCAAUAAAUUUCAAGUACUUGAACUGAGUGACACAAUACAACACACAGAUUUAUCUUUUCAAUAAAAAGUGUUUUUUAAAUAGGAAG